rnacentral:rRNA from 1 species
UACGAAGGGGGCUAGCGUUGCUCGGAAUUACUGGGCGUAAAGCGCACGUAGGCGGCUUUCUAAGUCGGGGGUGAAAUCCUGGAGCUCAACUCCAGAACUGCCUUCGAUACUGGAGAGCUCGAGUCCGGGAGAGGUGAGUGGGAACUGCGAGUGUAGAGGUGAAAUUCGUAGAUAUUCGCAAGAACACCAGUGGCGAAGGCGGCUCACUGGCCCGGUACUGACGCUGAGGUGCGAAAGCGUGGGGAGCAAACAGG